GUGACAUACCUAUAACUGUUGCUUCGGCGGGUAGGGUCUCCGCGACCCUCCCGGCCUCCCGCCUCCGGGCGGGUCGGCGCCCGCCGGAGGAUAACCAAACUCUGAUUUAACGACGUUUCUUCUGAGUGGUACAAGCAAAUAAUCAAAACUUUUAACAACGGAUCUCUUGGUUCUGGCAUCGAUGAAGAACGCAGCGAAAUGCGAUAAGUAAUGUGAAUUGCAGAAUUCAGUGAAUCAUCGAAUCUUUGAACGCACAUUGCGCCCGCCAGCAUUCUGGCGGGCAUGCCUGUUCGAGCGUCAUUUCAACCCUCAAGCUCUGCUUGGUGUUGGGGCCCUACAGCUGAUGUAGGCCCUCAAAGGUAGUGGCGGACCCUCCCGGAGCCUCCUUUGCGUAGUAACUUUACGUCUCGCACUGGGAUCCGGAGGGACUCUUGCCGUAAAACCCCCCAAUUUUCCAAAGGUUGACCUCGGAUCAGGUAGGAAUACCCGCUGAACUUAAGCAUAUC
rnacentral:rRNA from 1 species